rnacentral:rRNA from 1 species
CGUAGGAGGCUAGUGUUAGUUAUCUUUAUUGGGUUUAAAGGGUAAGUAGACGGUAAAUUAAAACUCUAAAACGAGUACUUUUUUACUAGAGUUAUAUGAGAGAAGGAAGAAUUUCUGGAGUAGAGAUAAAAUUUGAUGAUACCAGGAGGACUGUCAACGGCGAAGGCGUCCUUCUAUGUAAUAACUGACGUUGAGAGACGAAGGCUUGGGUAGCAAACAGGAUU